UAGGGGUCAAAGGAGGAAUCCGGUGAAGGGUGGGCUCGCGUCCGAUUAGCUAGUUGGUGUGGUGACGGCCCACCAAGGCGACGAUCGGUAGCCGACCUGAGAGGGUGAUCGGCCACAUUGGAACUGAGAGACGGUCCAAACUCCUACGGGAGGCAGCAGUGGGGAAUAUUUGGCAAUGGGGGAAACCCUGACCCAGCAACGCCGCGUGAAGGAAGAAGGUCUUCGGAUCGUAAACUUCUAUCCUCGGUGAAGAGGAGAAGACGGUAGCCGAGAAGGAAGCCCCGGCUAACUACGUGCCAGCAGCCGCGGUAAUACGUAGGGGGCAAGCGUUGUCCGGAAUGAUUGGGCGUAAAGGGCGUGUAGGCGGCUAAGUAAGUCUGGAGUGAAAGUCCUGCUUUUAAGGUGGGAAUUGCUUUGGAUACUGCAUAGCUAGAGUGCAGGAGAGGUAAGUGGAAUUCCCAGUGUAGCGGUGAAAUGCGUAGAGAUUGGGAGGAACACCAGUGGCGAAGGCGACUUACUGGACUGUAACUGACGCUGAGGCGCGAAAGUGUGGGGAGCAAACAGGAUUAGAUACCCUGGUAGUCCACACUGUAAACGAUGAAUGCUAGGUGUAGGGUGGUAUGGACCCCAUCUGUGCCGGGAGUAAACACAAUAAGCAUUCCGCCUGGGGAGUACGGCCGCAAGGUUGAAACUCAAAGGAAUUGACGGGGGCCCGCACAAGCAGCGGAGCAUGUGGUUUAAUUUGAAGCAACGCGAAGAACCUUACCAGGUCUUGACAUCCAGUAAAGCCUGUAGAGAUACAGAGACCCUUCGGGGGUACUGAGACAGGUGGUGCAUGGUUGUCGUCAGCUCGUGUCGUGAGAUGUUGGGUUAAGUCCCGCAACGAGCGCAACCCUUAUGAUUAGUUACUAACGGGUAAAGCCGAGGACUCUAAUGAGACUGCCGGGGACAACUCGGAGGAAGGUGGGGACGACGUCAAAUCAUCAUGCCCCUUAUGACCUGGGCUACACACGUGCUACAAUGGCCACUACAAAGAGGAGCGAGCCCGUAAGGGGGAGCGGAUCUCAAAAAAGUGGUCCCAGUUCGGAUUGUGGGCUGCAACCCGCCCACAUGAAGUCGGAGUUGCUAGUAAUCGCGGAUCAGCAUGCCGCGGUGAAUACGUUCCCGGGCCUUGCACA
rnacentral:rRNA from 1 species